rnacentral:rRNA from 1 species
CACCAGCGCCACAAGUGGCAUACGCAUUUAUUGGGCCUAAAGCGUCCGUAGCUGGCCAAAUAAAUCUCUUGUGAAAUCAUGGUGCUUAACUCCAUGGCGUGCAGGAGACACUGUUUGGCUUGGAACCGGGAGGAGCUAGAGGUAUUCUAGGGGGAGCGGUAAAAUGUUAUAAUCCCUAGAGGACCACCUGUGGCGAAGGCGUCUAGCUAGAACGGAUUCGACGGCGAGGGACGAAGGCUAGGGGAGCGAAUCG